rnacentral:lncRNA from 1 species
CAAGGAACACACACAUACAAAUUGACCAGAUACCCUCUCCAUCUUCACAUCUCCAGCCGAGUAAAGGAGCUCCGGCAACAGCUCCGACCAUCUCCGGUCACCCACACACCCCUCGACACCUCAGACACCCCACCCCCCUCCGAUCCUCGUAAUUCCGACAACCACACAAGUCCCGACCACACCUACAGCCGGCGAGAAACGAGAGCAGAAGAACGAAAAGAAGGAGAUCCGUGGAUGGAUCGACGGAGAGAGAAAGAGAGACGCGAUGAGAGAUGUCAGAGGAUACCGGUGGUCGACGGCUGGAAUUAACGGCGGCGACGCCGCCGUCUACAGCGGCGGUGGUGCUCGGUGGUGAACAGGCAGUGGUGCGGUGGUGCAGUUAUGGCGGCGGUGGGGUCACGGCAGCGCGACAGAGCCUGUGACGGCGAUGGUUUUGAUGGUGAAUUUGUUCAGUUUUCGGGUCAGCUUCGGAUUACAAGCAGUGAAGGUGACGGUGGUGGUGGUUUUUAGUGAGAGAGAGAGAGAGAAAGAAAGUGAGGGUGAGGGAGAGAUGAUUAGGGUGUUGGCUGUCAUAUGUCUGUACAUAUGAGAAUUAGGGUUCUAAAAACAAAAGGGAGUGAUAAAGAUAGGGACUAUAGGUGAAAAACAGACUGAAAGGGUAUAUUUGUCAUUUCACAUCAUUUUAACAGAGAAAAGUAACUGAAGUUAGACCCAGGGACUAUCCGAGAACAAAACGGAAAACCACAGGGACUAUUCAAGUAGUUUUAGAAAGAUAGGGACUAUAGGUGAAAAAAUGUGAAACCACAGGGACUAUCCGGACAUUUUUCUCCAAAAAUUAUGUGGAGUGACUUUUUCAUGAAAAAUGAGAAAAUGGACUCCAGUUGGGAUGUUGAGAUUUGAUCAUGGCAGCGAGGCCGGAAACAUGUGGGCAGGACAUGGAAGUUCCUGAAAGUAUGAAGAAAAGUGGAGGGUUCUUUCCAGCGAGUUUGACUACGGAAUCAUUGCCUGGCCAUGAAGCAAGAAUGGCCACCCCUGGUGCUGCAACAUCAGGCUGCAAGGUAACUGAUCGUUAAAAAACUUAUUUACCUAGGUACUCCACUGUCCGACUAGUGUCUAGCGGCUUUUACAACCAUGACUUAUACAAUAAAAUACUAACAUUGUGCAUAACAUAAAAGAACUUGCCUUGAGUAUGUCUUUUGUAGCAAAUGAAGGGCCUCUAGCUGAGAAGUAGGGAACUAUAGGGGCUGGCUUAUGUUGUGUAACUGAUACAGUUGGCGAAAUAGUUGCCAUAGGAUUCCUUCACAUAUUCCCUCUAACGUGUUAGUCAUGAAUUGUUCGGUUUGGAUCUAGAACUGAACCAGUUCUUUUAUUUAUUUGUUAAUCAAAGGUAAACCAAGACCAAACUGAUUCACGUUGGUUGGCCUUACGUGGCCAGUCCAUCCGUCCGGUUAGGUUCAUACUAGAUGUACAACCCUAAUGGAUCAACAAUAGGCUUCUAGCGAUAAUUGUACCCAAAAUAAUUCCUUUUAAUAUUCACCUUUCGUUUUCACAAUAUAGUUAGUUAAAAAAGUAGGGUGUCAAUUGUGUCAGGUUAACGUUGAACUAUUCAACCCAAAAACGACCCAUUUUUUUAUGCAUGUCAAAAUUAUUAAAAGCCUAACCCACACACACUUAAAAUCGUGUUUAACCCAUUUAUCUAACGGAUUGGCGGGUAGUAAUCAAGGUGUAAACGUAUUAAGGGUAGGUGGGUUACAAAAAUGCGUUAAACAGGUUAGCGUGUCGACUGGGUUUAAUUAAACAGGUUUGCGGGUUGGAUACGCCAACCCAUUUCCAUAGUUAUACUUGCAAAUAAUUUUGUUCAAUAUUCACCUUUCGUUUUUAGCAUACGAUAUAAUCUUUUUCCCAUCCGUUCGAUUAACCGUAGCCACUGGAAAUGAUCCGUAGGAGGAAGCCACUGCUCUUGCAUCAUCACUAACAAAAACCAUCCCAACUGCACCAAGUUUUUUAACGCGUGCUAGCUUUUGUUUGGCUGAUGAUACUCCAACUUCAUUCUCACAAACAACAAUGCUUCCUUUAACUUUGUCUUUAUCUAACGAGUGUGGUUUGCAGUUUCUGAAGAACAUACAAGUAGCAGUGGCAAUAUUUGACCCAUUAUCUUAUAAAUGUAUCAAACUGAUAACAUCAAAACGAAAUGCCCAAAGGGUACUUUCGAAUGCAUUAAAUUUUAUUCAAAGAAAUAUACGAUUAAAAAACACUAUUUGUUUAUGAAUGACUUAGAAGUUUUGAAGAAAAAGUGUUUUGGGUCGGGCCAACCAACUUGACCAUUACCAAAAUUUAUCCGACCCGCCUAUUUUUUCACCUGUAUUUAAAAGAUGAGAACACCUUAUGGAAUAAUUGUUGAUAGAGUUACCUCGCAUCAAUUUCUUUGCUAGAAUUUCUUUUGGCUGUGUUCCCAUAAAGCAACGGGUAUACUGGAGAUGUUUGUAACUCACCGAAGUUUAUGCCUCCACCCUUUAAUUCGACACAAAACGUGUAUGUGUCAGUACCAAAUAAACGGGUAUUUUGGUAAUGAUCGAGUUGGCCAAAUACUUCUGUGUUCAAAUAUGAUUUCUAAAUUCUUUAAAAAUUUAUUUAUUUUCAAUGAUACGAUUUGAUGCAUUAAUAAUAGACUUUUGGGCGAUUUUUAAGUUUUAACUCAUCUAUCCCAUUUCCUUUUAGGCCAGUUUUUGUACUCGUUUGAUCAGUUAGACGUAACGCUUGACCUGUAAGUAAAUGGUUACCUGUAUUACUGUUUGGUCACCCAGUGUGAUAUCAGCCUGAAAAUCGCGGUCAAUUGAACUAGCUGCAACGGUUAGGAUCCAGGGAGCAACAUUGACAACAGACCCCGUACUCGGGCCAUCGUUUCCUGCCGAACAAACCACUGUGAUCCCUUUUUCAGUUGCAUGAAAGGCUCCAAUGGCAACAGGAUCUCUGUGAAAGUUCGGUCCAUCUGCGGCUGAUGCACCAAGAGAUAAUGAUAAUACAUCCACACCAUCUUCUAUAGCAUCAUCAAAAGCAGCCAAUAUGUUUGAUCCUUGACAGCCUAUAACUCCACAAACCCGAUAGGAUGCAAUUCUCGAACCAGGAAAACCGCCCUUGGCUGAGCCCAUAGCAAGCCCGUAAUAAGAUGCUUUAUGUAUGGUGUUGCCCGCAGCUGUUGAAGCAACGUGAGUCCCGUGCCCAUGAUCGUCCCUUGGAGAGUUAAAAGCACCUCCAGCUUUGUAAUACCGCGCUCCAAUUAGUUUCCUGGUAAACUUAUUAUUCAGGUUUCGUUGUUAACAUACAAAUGUGACUCAGUUUUUCCUCGUAUCAACGUUAGUUCAGGGAUAUGGACUAGGAUCAAAUACAAAGGCUCCUAAAAAUAAGAAGUAUACAAAGGCUCCUAAAAAAACCCA